GAUGAACGCUGGCGGCGUGCCUAAUACAUGCAAGUCGAGCGAACGGACGAGAAGCUUGCUUCUCUGAUGUUAGCGGCGGACGGGUGAGUAACACGUGGAUAACCUACCUAUAAGACUGGGAUAACUUCGGGAAACCGGAGCUAAUACCGGAUGAUAUUUUGAACCGCAUGGUUCAAAAGUGAAAGACGGUCUUGCUGACACAUAGAGAUGUCCGCGCUGCAUUAGCUAGUUGGUAAGGUAACGGCUUACCAAGGCAACGAUGCAUAGCCGACCUGAGAGGGUGAUCGGCCACACUGGAACUGAGACACGGUCCAGACUCCUACGGGAGGCAGCAGUAGGGAAUCUUCCGCAAUGGGCGAAAGCCUGACGGAGCAACGCCGCGUGAGUGAUGAAGGUCUUCGGAUCGUAAAACUCUGUUAUUAGGGAAGAACAUAUGUGUAAGUAACUGUGCACAUCUUGACGGUACCUAAUCAGAAAGCCACGGCUAACUACGUG
rnacentral:rRNA from 1 species